GAUGAAGAACGCAGUGAAAUGCGAUAAGUAAUGUGAAUUGCAGAAUUCAGUGAAUCAUCGAAUCUUUGAACGCACAUUGCGCCCCCUGGUAUUCCGGGGGGCAUGCCUGUCCGAGCGUCAUUACAACCCUCAAGCUCAGCUUGGUGUUGGGCCCCGCCGCCCCGGCGGGCCCUAAAGUCAGUGGCGGUGCCGUCCGGCUCCGAGCGUAGUAAUUCUUCUCGCUCUGGAGGUCCGGUCGUGUGCUCGCCAGCAACCCCCAAUUUUUUUCAGGUUGACCUCGGAUCAGGUAGGGAUACCCGCUGAACUUAAGCAUAUCAAUAAGCGAGGA
rnacentral:misc_RNA from 1 species